rnacentral:other from 1 species
AACUCCCUGGGGUAUUCGCCAGUCAGCAUGUCCUUGAGCCGAUAAUACCCACCCGGAGGUUCCUCGUUGGUAGCUGUGUGCAUGCUCGGCAUGACCGAGAAGCCUGAACUACUGCAGGAUCCACCACCUUGAACCUUUUCGGUUCGAGGCCGCUAAUGACAGCGGUACCUUGGGGCGUUC